UAAACCGUGGCUCAUUUCAGAUCGUAGGCUGCAACUCGCCUACGUGAAGGAGGAAUCGCUAGUAAUCGCAGGUCAACAUACUGCGGUGAAUACGUUCCCGGGCCUUGUACACACCGCCCGUCACACCAUGGAAGUUGGCCACGCCCGAAGUCGUUACUCCAACCCUCUGGGAGGAGGACGCCGAAGGUGGGGCUGAUGACUGGGGUGAAGUCGUAACAAGGUAGCCGUACCGGAAGGUGCGGCUGGAUCACCUCCUAACA
rnacentral:rRNA from 1 species